rnacentral:rRNA from 1 species
GUGGCGAACGGGUGAGGAACACGUGAGAAACCUGCCUUUCAUUCUGGGAUAACACCGGGAAACCGGUGCUAAUACCGGAUACUCCAUCUUGGCGGCAUCGCCGGGCUGGGAAAAAAUUUUGAUGAAAGAUGGUCUCGCGGCCUAUCAGCUAGUUGGUGAGGUAAAGGCUCACCAAGGCGACGACGGGUAGCCGGCCUGAGAGGGCGACCGGCCACACUGGGACUGAGACACGGCCCAUACUCCUACGGGAGGCAGCAGUAGGGAAUAUUGGGCAAUGGGCGAAAGCCUGACCCAGCGACGCCGGGUGAGGGAUGAAGGUCUUCGGAUUGUAAACCUCUUUCAGUAGGGAAGAAGCGAAAGUGACGGUACCUAAAGAAGAAGCACCGGCUAACUAUGUGCCAGCAGCCGCGGUAAUACAUAGGGUGCAAGCGUUGUCCGGAAUUAUUGGGCGUAAAGAGCUCGUAGGUCGUUUGUCGCGUCGAUUGUGAAAAUCUGAGGCUCAACCUCAGACCUGCAGUCGAUACGGGCAAACUAGAGUGUGGUAGGGGAGACUGGAAUUCCUGGUGUAGCGGUGGAAUGCGCAGAUAUCAGGAGGAACACCAAUGGCGAAGGCAGGUCUCUGGGCCAUAACUGACACUGAGGAGCGAAAGUGCGGGGAGCGAACAGGAUUAGAUACCCUGGUAGUCCGCACCGUAAACGGUGGGCACUAGUUGUGGGAACCUUCCACGGUUUCCGCGACGCACAAACGCAUUAAGUGCCCCGCCUGGAGAGUACGAUCGCAAGAUUAAACUCAAGGAAUUGACGGAGCCCCGCACAAGCAGC